CGCCAUGGAGUGUGGGCUGAGCUGGCUGCUCCUCCUGGCUCUUCUAGGGGGUGUCCAGUGUGAGGAGAAGCUGAUGGAGUCUGGGGGAGACUUGGUGCAGCCUCAAGGGUCUCUCAGACUCUCCUGUGCAGCCUCGGGAUUCACCAUCAGCAGUUAUAGCAUGGACUGGGUGCGCCAGGCCCCAGGGAAGGGGCUACAGUGGGUUGCAAGAAUUUAUGCUGAUGGUGGUAGCACAUACUACGCGGACGCCGUGAAGAGCCGAUUCACCAUCUCCAGCGACAAAGCCAAGAACACAGUUUAUCUGCAGAUGAACAGCCUGAAGCCCGAGGACACGGCCGUGUAUUUCUGUGCGAGAGACACAGUUACCCACAUUCCUGGGGCGCUCCAAGGAAGAGUUUACUCUGUCACAGUGACACCUCCCCUGGGACAGGAACCUUCACAACAGAACACCCUGGCUCCUCAUCCCCGUGUCCAGUGGCGCCUGCAAUCCCGCAUGUGGCCACUGGGCGGCGCCAGCCAGCCCCCUCGGGAGUGGGUUUUCUCUCCGGCGCUGAUGGGUCAAGUCCCGUCCAGCGCGUGUGACCCGCACGGCUGA